CACGGAUAAGGCCGAAAAUUGUAGAGGCUCUAAUGCGUGGGCAAAGUUGGUUAGAACCUUUUGCUGUAGCAGAUGUUGAUGUAGCAGAAAUAGAUGAUGAAAUUAAAGUUUAUGUGAAUUUGGAGUUGGAACAAUCUGAUUUGGAGAUGGGUGAUCAUUGCCUCAUUGCUGAUUGGAAGUUUAACUUGGUGGAUGCAGCAACUUUUUGGAAUAAUCCUUAAUCUCAAGGACUUGAACUUUGAACUUAAACUCUUGAAGUUUAGUGUUGAUCAUUUGGAACUUUUGA